UCUUUUUCUACCUUCCUUCCCAAACAGCUUCGCUGCUGUUAUCCAGAAGACCUCCGGUUUCAUGGAAGCAUCCAGUCCUCCUCAGGAAGAGCAGGAAAAGGCGGGAAAAUCAACAGCCGGCCUGGCGCCGCUGUGAGGCAGACAGCGGAGCGUGGCCAUCGGCAAGUGCAUGCGAGUGGGUGGGCUGGCGGUGUGCUAAGCGAGUGGGUGGGGCUCCGGCCCUGCGUCAGGAAUGGGCGGGGCCUGGGCAGAGUGUUCUGCUAACACUUCAAGAAUGUUCACCGCUUUUGAAAACUGGGCCCUCAGCAGGGAGGGCUGGGGUUGUGGCUCAGCGGUGGAGCGCUCGCCCAAUCCUCAGCACCACGUAAUGAAUAAGUAAAAUAAAGGUGUUGUGUCCAACUACAACUGAAAAUACAUAUAUAUAAAAAAAAAAAGAUAGGCUGGGGAUGUGGCUCAAGCGGUAGCACGCUCUCCUGGCAUG
rnacentral:lncRNA from 1 species